rnacentral:rRNA from 1 species
UACGUAGGGGGCAAGCGUUGUCCGGAUUUAUUGGGCGUAAAGAGCGUGUAGGCGGCCUUACAGGUCAGCUGUGAAGACUCGGGGCUCAACCUCGAGACGUCGGUUGAAACCGUAAGGCUAGAGUCCGGAAGAGGAGAGUGGAAUUCCCGGUGUAGCGGUGAAAUGCGCAGAUAUCGGGAAGAACACCCGUGGCGAAGGCGGCUCUCUGGGACGGUACUGACGCUGAGACGCGAAAGCGUGGGGAGCGAACAGG